GCACGGUGGUUUAGUGGUUAGCACGUUCGCUUCAAACAUCCAGGGUUGGGGGUUCGAUUCCAUCAGCCCUGUGUG